CGGGGGUCAACGUACCUGAUCAGGGCUGUCGUAGACUGUUGACUAGUCCCCGUGUCCCGUAGGGACAUUCUGACCGUAACUCCGCGUGGCGGCGUUGUCAGAGAGGCGUGGCCUCGGGAUCCGCCGCUGGCGGAAGUCCCCCCGCUAGAUGUAGCAGGAAGCAGCGUCAAGUAGACGUGCUUGGUAUUUUAUUGAGCGGUGUUGCGCUGAAUAAAGUACGCAGCUUGUCAGAUGAGAAAUGGGGUCAGCCAGCGGUGCGCUGUGUAGCGGAGGACGCCCCGUUUACCAAAUGAGGAGAGAAGCUCCGCCGGCGGGGUUUCGCUCAGCGGAGACUCCGUCACUUGGAAGAUGACAAGUGAGGAUCCGCUGGCGGGGUUUCGCUCAGCGGAGACUCCGUCACUUGGGAGAUGUAAGUGAGGAUCCGCUGGCGGGGUUUCGCUCAGCGGAGACUCCGUCACUUGGGAGAUGUAAGUGAGGAUCCGCUGGCGGGGUUUCGCUCAGCGGAGGCUCCGUCACUAGGGAGAUGACAAGUGAGGAUCCGCUGGCGGGGUUUCGCUCAGCGGAGACUUGCCAUGGUUGGGGGGUUUACUUGUCAGGUGGUGACUUCCCUUGGAAGCCAAAGAAUGAUGACGGUGGACACGUGGCUAACUCUGAGAGGGUUAGCGUCUGGAGGCUUGCCUCCUAAGCCUAGCCGUCUUCUCGUCAUUAAUGCGAGUAAUGAUGGAUCUCGUAACCGAGGCGACGCCUCGGUUAAUCCAGGGAGUUAAUGAAGACGUGGGACACGUGUACGGUUGGUACGUGAUGUAGUUUUGUAGCGGACGGC
rnacentral:lncRNA from 1 species